GUUUCUUCUAAUUCAGCAUUAAAGAGUGUGUUUUCAUAGGGAUGGCACCAUGGAUGGGGAGAGAGAAAAGAAAAGCAUUUGGACAUGGCGCUUUAAAGCACAUACCUGUGUCGAGAAAGUGUGGGGCAAAAGGUGCCUGUGGAUGAGCCCUAUAUAAUGUCUGGGAAGUGCUUUGAACAUUUGAAAGUGCUAUACAAAUAUGAAGCACUGCUGGUUACUUCCUAGCAAGUGUGUUGAGGAUUGUGGUCUUAGUGCGUAUCAGAUAUUCUUGAACUCCUAAACAUCAAGAACUCUAGAAGUUAAUAAUUGAAAUUGGAGGCUGAGACCCUAUGGACAUACGGUCAGCAGCAGCAUUAAAUCUGUGGAUCCCUUUGGAGUUUGAAACAAUAGAGCAGGCAGUUCUUGGUACAAGACUGUGAUUAAAGCAAAAGAAGAACCAUCCAUUUGUUAUUUAGAGAAACAAAUGUUCAGAGAAAGGAAAGAUGACAUUUAUACCACUUAGACUGAUAUAAGAACCUGCAAGUUCUUUCGCACAACUCUUCAAGUGCUAGUUAAAUAAUUUAUAUCAUCUUACCUAUCUGUUGAAAACAACAAAGGAGCUGCUAUAUACUGAGGAAAAGAAACAAAUGCACAUUUAGACCUUGUUACUGUUGAACCUAUCAUGCUAACCUUCAAGGGCAAAGUCUCAAGGCCUAGCAUUUGGCAAAUAUAACUAAGGAUGCAUGACUUAAGUGCCAUCUGAAUGGCAGUGGUUAGAAAUGAUACCUAUGGAGUGAGAUACAAUGUUGUGGUUUUGAUUCCCAGCUAGAGAGCUUUAAUGCAUGCCUAAAAAUACCCUGUGUUGGGUGCAUGGGAAUUAGCAGUGUUACCCCAUGCAGUGCCUAAAGUCAGGGUGUUGGUUGACACAGAAGAUGAACAAGCACUGAAAUCUUAGAUUAACAUUUUUAAAGGCUAGGAAAACAUGUCAACGCUUGCUUGGUUCAAAUUGCCUGCCUCCCCUCCUGUAUUGAAAAUUGAUCUAUAGUUAGAAAUGAGUCAUAGGUACUGUAUGUUACAUUACCACCAUAUAAAGUUCUAUUUUUAUUGUAAUACUUGA